CCUGGACCUAGAGGUGCUGCAGGUGUGGCUGCCUUGUCACACUUGCUCCAGUAGGUGGAAGAAAGGAGAGAGGCUAUGUCUAUGCUCAGUGUUCUGACCUUUGAACAGCUAAAUGAUAAGAAGCUUAACAUU